rnacentral:rRNA from 1 species
GAUGAACGCUGGCGGCGUGCCUAAUACAUGCAAGUCGAGCGAACGGACGAGAAGCUUGCUUCUCUGAUGUUAGCGGCGGACGGGUGAGUAACACGUGGAUAACCUACCUAUAAGACUGGGAUAACUUCGGGAAACCGGAGCUAAUACCGGAUAAUAUUUUGAACCGCAUGGUUCAAAAGUGAAAGACGGUCUUGCUGUCACUUAUAGAUGGAUCCGCGCUGCAUUAGCUAGUUGGUAAGGUAACGGCUUAUCAAGGCAACGAUGCAUAGCCGACCUGAGAGGGUGAUCGGCCACACUGGAACUGGGACACGGACCAGGCUCCUACGGGAGGCAGCAGUAUGGAAUCUUCCGCAAAGGGCGAAAGCCUGGCGGAGCAACGCCACGUGAGUGAUGGAGAUCUUCGGAUCGUAAAACUCUGUUAUUAGGGAAGAACAUAUGUGUAAGUAGCUGUACACAUCUUGACGGUACCUAAUCAGAAAGCCACGGCUAACUACGUG